CUUUCUUUUGCAUUCUAUUUUGUAUUAAUUCUUCCAUACUUAAAUUCAACCCAAUCCAUAUCUAUUUUAAAUAAAAAAAGAUAUAUAUAAAUGAAUUUUGUAAAGAUUGUAAAAAUCUGAAAUUAUAAGACUUGACAAGUGGCACUUGGGGAAUGGCUGAACCAAUUAAGUUAAAUACUUCAACUUAAAUGAGAAUAACAAAGCCUGCAACUUAGUUCGCUUUUCUUCAUCUGAGAAACACACACAUUUGCUUACAAGCUCUUUUUCUCUCCUUGCCCAUUUCAUUUCCUUUCCAGAAUUUAGUAAAUUGAACCAUUUGAUCUCCCUCUUGUAGCUAACUAAAGCACCUCGACACCCAAGGUUUCCAUUGGCACCGAAUCAUUCUGUUGUCAACAGAGGGUAAGUGUCCUUCCCUCUUUUCUUCUUCUUUGAGUCUUAGAACAUGCAACCCACUAAUUGCAUGUGCUCUUGAUUCCUUCCUUUUCGAAUAUAUUUUUCAAUUUCAGCUUUAAAAGCUGUUUUAAUCACAAAUUCUGCGAUCUAUAGGGUUGGGGGAAAAUUCUAGAAUUUUAGAAGGAAACAUAGAAGAACUCUUGAGCUGUUCUGUAUGAAAUCCAGGUAAGGGAAGCUGGAUUCUUUUAGUUUAAUUGUAGAAUGCUAAAUUUAUUUAUUUGAUUGUAUGGAGAAUUAUUUGAAUUGAAAUGCAUGGGUGAAAUUUGUAUGAAUUGAUACGACUUUUGCUUGAAUGAAUGAAUGCAUGUAUUGAAAAUGAUAUUUUUGAUUUGUGUUUGAUGAGAGUGGAUAAUAGAAGGAUUCUGAACGGUAGGAUUAGGUGUAGGUUGACAAUGGUAUGGUUUUAGGGUGAUAAUUCAGUUAUGCAGGUUUUCAGUAAAUGACUAAGUCAUUUUUCAGCUUUUGAGUCCAAUUAAGGGAACUUGGGUGGUGAGUUUUAGAAAUAAGGGUCCAACUCUGAAAUAGGUACUUAGGACAGCUUAGGAUAGUUAAUUAUGACUUAUAGGAGGUGUACAAUUGAUCUAAGACAACUUAUAAAUGGUAAAUUUCGAAUUGAGCCUCUAGGUAGAUCAAAUGAGUAUUUUAGAUCUAAUUUCCUUGUACAUCUCUUAGAGUUUUGAGUUAGGAUGGUGUGUGAGACUUCAAACAAGUUAGAUUCAACUUGUAUUUCGAGUUAGGAGUGUCCAAAGUUCACCAAAAGACCUAAAACUAAACUUAGGAGGUAGAGUUGCUCAAUUAUGCAGAAAAAUCUGCAUAAUUCACGCUUGGGCGCCCUUAAAGGGCGCUUGGGCGCCAUUUUCUGCUGUCAUGUUUGUUUUUGAUAGUUUGUGGGGUUCCGGACGUUCGUUUUGGACAUUCUUUAGGUCGUUCUGGGGGUUUUUUACCCUUCCGGAGCCAUUGGUGAGGGUUUCCAAGCUAUUUGAAUUACUUAACUAUAGGUAAUUAUAGUUGAUAAAGAAAUUGGUAUUAAUAAAUGAUGUUUCUGUGAAAACAUGUAAUGUAUGACUUAUUUCUAGCAUUGUAUGAUUCUUUUUAGUNUUGUAUGAGUUAAUUAUGUAGGAUUUGUAUGAAACCCAAAGUAAUAUAACAUCUUUAUGNAUAAAAUUGAGAAUUUAAAGUCAAUGAAGUUGGUAUGGUAUGAAUUAUGAUUCAAAGAGUUAAAUAUCAUCUCUAGGUGAGAUCUAAGUUAAGUUUCUGGAAUGAAUAUAGGUAGCUCAGUCUUGGGGGUUGCCCUUAAUACUNN
rnacentral:lncRNA from 1 species